CACCUAUAAUCGUUUUAAUCGAUGGGGGGACGCAGUAGGAUAGGCGAAGCGUGCGAUUGGAUUGCACGUCUAAGCAGUAAGGCUGAGUAUUAGGCAAAUCCGGUACUCGUUAAGGAUGAGCUGUGAUGGGGAGAAGACAUUGUGUCUUCGAGUCGUUGAUUUCACACUGCCGAGAAAAGCCUCUAGAUAGAAAAUAGGUGCCCGUACCGCAAACCGACACAGGUAGUCAAGAUGAGAAUUCUAAGGUGAGCGAGCGAACUCUCGUUAAGGAACUCGGCAAAAUGACCCCGUAACUUCGGGAGAAGGGGUGCUCUUUAGGGUUAACGCCCAGAAGAGCCGCAGUGAAUAGGCCCAAGCGACUGUUUAUCAAAAACACAGGUCUCUGCUAAACCGUAAGGUGAUGUAUAGGGGCUGACGCCUGCCCGGUGCUGGAAGGUUAAGAGGAGUGGUUAGCUUCUGCGAAGCUACGAAUCGAAGCCCCAGUAAACGGCGGCCGUAACUAUAACGGUCCUAAGGUAGCGAAAUUCCUUGUCGGGUAAGUUCCGACCCGCACGAAAGGCGUAACGAUUUGGGCACUGUCUCAACGAGAGACUCGGUGAAAUCAUAGUACCUGUGAAGAUGCAGGUUACCCGCGACAGGACGGAAAGACCCCGUGGAGCUUUACUGUAGCCUGAUAUUGAAAUUCGGCACAGCUUGUACAGG
rnacentral:rRNA from 1 species